rnacentral:lncRNA from 1 species
UCUCCUAUGGGGUAGACCCAGUAACCUAACCUGCAAAAAGUUUAUUUUAUUUUUUAAAGAUAGCAGGAGAGCUGCUACUAUUCAUUAAAAGGAAGCGGUAAAGAACCCGAUGCUCGGUUAAUCGAGAAAAACCGAGCUAAAACCUUUACAAAGAGCACACCACACCUAGCAAAACUAGGGCUGGAGCACAACAGGACAUACAGGAGCGCCUAAAGACCGACACAACACGGACUGAAGCGUACAUCACCCACCGCGCAUACGCCCCGGCGACUUCGACUUUGCUUCAACCUCACGAGAGAGCACCACCCAGCUGUCUUGGACAAGGCCGCCACAAGCAUGUUUGACGACAUAACCAUCACCGGAGAGAGACGACAUGCCCGACGGAAGAGGAGCGAACAUGUGCCUCGCCGAACACGAGAGGACGCCCAACAUGACUCGCCUGACGCUGCAAGCAUGUCAAGUGUGCUCCAAGUGCCCAACACCGCCGGCCAACUGCCGGCCCUGACGGACACGCCGCCGCAGACACCACCUCACCUCGCCACCGCCAGCACCCGACCAACCACUGCACCGCAAACCAGGUACUCCUGCCGAGAGGUCAACUCUCCACCUCCCAUCGAAGAAAUGACGCCAAGGGCGCCGCCGUCGCCGUCGCCGAUCCAACAAGGUAGAUCUUGGUUUUCACCCGGAGAGUAUAACUCAAGGACAUGAGAGGGGCCGAAUCUCCUCGGUGACGCCUCCAACAAGGAAAUAACACCCACAAGCAUUGUCAUCACCGGCCAUGAGCAUGAAUUUCUUCCGGAGAUACUACACGCCUACGCCGGGAUGUUGCCGCACGCACACACCACCUUUAGAUCUGGAGCCUAGCUCCUCACAUCCUGGCCGGAGCAUAGCCUGCUGAAAGAUCGUGGAUGUUGCCUAGAGGGGGGUGAGGGUGAAUAGGCGCUUUAAAAUAAUUAUGGUUUAGGCUUGAACAAAUGCGGAAUAAAACUACGUUUGAUUUGUCGAGCACAAAACCUAAAACAACUAGGCUCACCUAUGUGCAUCAACAACUUAUGCUAAGCAAGAUAAACAAAGUGAUAGCAAGAUAUAUAUCAUGAAGCACUAAGGCUAUCACAAAGUAAAGUGCAUAAGAAAAGGGCUCGGGUAAGAGAUAACCGAGGGACGUGGAGACGAUGAUGUAUCCCGAAGUUCACACCCUUGCGGAUGCUAAUCUCUGUUUGGAGCGGAGUGGAGGCACAAUGCUCCCCAAGAAGCCACUUAGGGCCACUGUAAUCUCCUCAGGCCCUUGCACAUUGCAAGAUGCCGUGAUUCCACUAAGGGACCCUUGAGGGCGGUCACCGAACCUGUACAAAUGGCAAUCCUUGGGGGCGGUCAUCGAAUCCGUACACUUUGGCAACCCUUGGGGGCGGUCACCGGAACCCGUACAAAUUGCUGGGGCAAUCUCCACAACCUGAUUGGAGACCCGACACUUUCCCGGAGCUUUACACCACAAAUGAUUGAGCUCUGAGACACCAACGACCGUCUAGGGCGCCCAAGCACCCAAGAGGAACAAGCUCUAGGGUAUCAAGCACCCAAGAGUAACAAGCUCUCAAACUUCACUUCCACAUAUCACCGUGGAGAACUCAAAUCGAUGCACCAAAUGCAAUGGCAAGGGCACACGGAGUGCCAAGUCCUUCUCUCCCAAAUCCCACCACAACAACUAAUGCUAUGGAGGAAAAUGAGAGGAAGAAUGAAGAAGAGAACACGAAGAACUCCAAGAUCUAGAUCCAAGGGGUUCCCCUCACAUAGAGGAGAAAAUGAUUGGUGGAAAUGUGGAUCUAGAUCUCCUCUCUCUUUUCCCUCAAGAACUAGCAAGAAUUCAAGGAGGGAUUGAGAGAACACAAGCUCGAAGAAGGUCAACAAUGAGGGCAAAACACGAGCUCAAAAGAUUAAGUUCAUCGGGGAAGAAGACACCCUUUUAUAGGUGGAGACAAAUCCAACCGUUAUGCCCCCCCCCAGCCCGCACACAAGCGGUACUACCACCGAGAGGAGCAGUACUACCGCUUGGGGUGGUAGUUCCAGGUUAAAGUCCAGGCGCGGUAGUGCCGCCGGAGCGGUACUACCGUCCUCACAAGCGGUACUACCGCUUCGUGGCUCAGGACACAAAGAACAAGCAACAAUAGAGGGAGGGUAGGACGGUAGUACUACAUACAACGGUACUACCUCGCCCUACUACCGCUCUACUACCGUGGAGGCAACGAGGGACUACAGAAGCAAAGAGAUAGGCAGUAGUGUGACGGUAGUCAGUCGCAGAAGUACUGCAAUAGCGGUACUACUGCGGGGCAGGUGCGGUACUACCGUGCCCAACUGCCGUCAAAGCGAAAACGAGUCCAGAAGCCUGAAAACAAGCGGUAGUGCUCGUGGCACUGGACUGCGGAAGUACCAUGCAAGCGGUACUACCGCUACCCAGGGCGUUACUACCGCUAGUGAGCUUCAAAAUAGCCCAAGCAAAACAGAAGGAUGCAAUAAGGCCUGAACUGCCAUAACUUCUACAAAUGAGUUGCGAAUUGAGAAAACUCAAGCUUGUCGGAUAGAAGACGACAAAUACUAUCCAACAGCGACAUUCAACAGGUUAUAGUAAGAAGAGGCAGAGGAAGAAUGCCUAAGAUAUGGAGAUGUGAAACCUCUAUGACUGAAGAAACGACAAAAACUCCAACAUCGGAAACAUCAUAGAAGAUGCAUAUAUGAACUCCGUUUUUGAUGAACUCGAGCUUGUCAUGAAGAUGACCAUAAGCUCUAAAAACUCACCGAGAGAAACACCAAACGAGAACCAAGAAACAUGAUGCAAGGAUGCAAUGGUUUGAGCUUUCUACGAAUGAUACGAUCAAGCUACUUACUUGAGAUCCCCCUUGAUAGUACGACAAUCGAUCCUAUAACCCGGUCUCCCGACUACCACCAUGAAACCGAUAAAAUAGAAAACCUAUCAAGGGCAAACUUUGCCUUGCACAUAGUCCACUUGAGCUAGAUGAUGACGAUCUUGACUUCCUCAAGUUUCACCACCUUUCUUGAUUGCGUUGGUUUGAUGAAGACAAGUAGAUUUCUCCCCCAUACUCCAGUAUGGGUGAGCCACUCUUCGGCACAUCUUCACAAGUACAUUGUCACCACAAUGGACAGUAAGCUUCAAGCACGAUCUCUUCGUGAUGCUCCACUUGAACUUGCACACCGCAAUCUUGAUGACGGACACCACUUGAUGUCAACCUCCAUGGGUUGUAUGAGAUCUUCCUCUUGACGCAAGCCCAUGGAAACAUACCUAACCCCACAUAGAACUCUCACGUAGACCAUGGGUUAGUACACAAGGCGUAAUGACAAUGCUUACCAUACCAUGGGAUCACUUAAUCCCUCACGAUACAUCUUGUAUGCUUUGUGUGUUGAUCAACUCGAUUCACUCUUUGACUUGUUCUUGAUCAACCUUGUAUCAUGUCUUCUACAUGACCAAUCUUUGGAUAGUUCCUUGAAUAGCACUUUGGUCAUCACAUAAACUCCUUGAAACCAACACAUGGACUUCAAGAAAUGCAUAUGGACAAAUCCUUCAAAUAUAACUCAAGGCAACCAUUAGUCCAUAGAGAUUGUCAUCAAUUACCAAAACCAAACAUGGAGGCACCGCAUGUUCUUUCACCUGCAGCACCACUGACCUGCUCAAAAGAUGCACCAGGGCGCCACCAUGAGGUGCACUGCAUCCAGCCUACCGCAGUGCUUGGACAUGUCCAGACCAGGCAUGCCCGCCUGCCCGCAACUGCCCCUGUAUGCAUGCCGGAGACCUGGCAGCAGCUCCCGCUUGGGACUCCACCGCAUAGCCCGGACGACGCAGAUCCGCCGCCCUAGCCUCACGAGCCCACGGCAGGCUCGGGUGGGCCCAGAUCGGGCCCACCCCGCCUGCAGCUGCAGCCGUGCGCCCACCGGAGGGAGGCAGAGGCGGCGCGGCCUCGAGCUCCAGCACCCCACCUCGGCCAAUCACCACCGCCGCCGGCCUCAGAUGGAGCAACCUUUAGAUCCGCCCGCCUGCCACCGAGCGAGGCCGCGCCUCCGAGAAGGCAACAGAGAAAACUCCCUGCCGCCGCCAUCCCUGGAGCCGGCCGAGCUUCGCCGACGAUCCCCUCUGGCGGCGGCGAGGGAAGGGUGGAGGGAGGGGCGGCCGGUUAGGGUUUCUCCCCCGGAGUCGCCAAGGAGAAGGCGCGGGGGUUGGGACCGGUCAAAGGUCCUACUGAACAUAGUUUAUAGGAGUUUAUCUAUUGAAAACCAUAUCAUUUUUGCAUUUCCAUAUAGCCCAAAUUAAUGUGCAUACUCCUAUCCAAAUAUGUCUCGCAGUAUUUGGCUCUACUCCAAUUAGUCACAUCCCUACUUUUUAGAGGGUUAAUAUUAAAGGCUACAUGAAUUGAUCAGCGUCAUAAUAGUUUGGCAAGCGGACACUCGAGAAAGAGGUGUUUAAUCGUUUCAUCUUGGUCACAAAAGCAACUUUGUUGACUACCCUCCCAAUUGCGCUUGUCCAAAUUAUCCUUAGUCAGAAUCACCUCCUUGUGAACAAACCGCAUGAAGACUUUGAUCCUUAAAGGUACUUUGAUCUUCCAGAUAUGUAUCGAUUUUGGAAUCGGGCCGAGUCAAUUAUGUCAACUUACAUAGAUUUCACUGAGAAGAUUCCGCUCCUGGUUAAUCUCUAGUUAAUACUAUCAGGCUCAUCUGAGAGAUGAGCAUCCAUCAACCUGCGCGCCAGAUGUAGCCACGGUUCCCAUCGACUCCUACUAAAGAUCUCCGGAAUUGGAUAUUUAGAGGGUUAGACUGUAAUAUUAUAGCAACAUAUGUCUCCUUACGCUGUACAAUAUUAUAGAUGGACCGAUAUUUUGUAGCUAGAGGCAUCUCCCCUAACCACGUAUCCUCCCAGAAUCUAGUCGAAUUACCGUUUCCAAUGAUGAAUAUGGUCCUAUGGAAGAAAGUUGCUUUUGUUCUCACUAAUCCCUUCCAGACAGGUGAAUCAUUGGGUCUCACGGUAACCUGGGUCAAGGUCUUAGAUUGUAUGUACUUAUUACGUAAAAUUUGUACCCACAUGUCCUCGGUCUCAACAGAAAGCCUGUACAGUCAUUUAUUGAGCAGACAUCUAUUUUUUACCUCUAAAUUCUCAAUGCCGAGACCACCCUAGUUCUUCGGUCUACAAAUGAUAUCCCACUUAGUAAGCAUGUAUUUCCUCUUUAUUUCAUCGCUCUACCAAAAGAAUCGUGAUCGAUAGAGGUCUAACAUUUUUUGUACCCCUACAAGGUACUUCGAAGAAAGACAGAAGGAACAUCGGCAUACUUGUAAGCACUGAGUUUAUUACUCCCUCCGUUCCUAAAUAUAAGUCUUUUUAAACAUUUCAAAUGGGCUACAACAUGCAGAUGUAUGUAGACAUAUUUUAGAGUGUAGAUUCACUCACUUUGCUCCGUAUGUAGUCACUUGUUGGAAUAUCUAAAAAGACUUAUAUUUAGGAAUGGAGGGAGUAGUAUAAGCUGACCUUCGUAUGACACAAGCUUACCCUUCUAGCAACUUAGUUUUUUUUUCAAUCGAUUUUCAAUGCAUUUUCACUACUUGUUAGAUAGCUUGCGAUGGUGAAUUGGGAUACCGGGUAACUAAAAGGUAGCACUGGCGGAGCCUCGUCUGGGCUAAAGGGGGCCACAACCCCCCUCCAAAUUUGAAAAAAAUAUCUCUACUCCUAAUGGAGGAGUAAGUAGGUCGUUUCGUUCGUUCCCAUCGAUAGACUUUCCUACCCGUCCAUCCAUCCCGUCCCCCACGCAGCAGCGCUAAAAAAACAAUCCUUCCCUUCUUCCUUCUGCGCAUGAACUAAAACUGGAAGGCAAAUAACCGAGAAAUGGAAACUCACCCACGGACGUCGAUCCCCUUCCCCUCUCCCGUUGUCUUUCUUUUCCAAGUUGUAGUCACCGUCUCGUCCCCUUCUUCUAUUCUCUUUAGAGAGAUGGGGGUCGGGCUCUCCUGCUGGGAUCCCUGCACGCACUAUCGUGUAGGGUCAACCAGCGGCCAACACGUGGCCUGGUGGACCCAUCACUCAAACAACCCACCAGAUCGUAUAUCUCUAAUUACAGAAAAUCAGGAAAACUGCCUUUCUUUCUCCCGCGUAUCAACAGACUGCCGCCAAAAUCUCCAACACCCUUUCUCCUAUCUAUCUACUCCAUUGUGGAUCACACGAGAAUAGAUCAGGAUCGAUAGAGAAUUGCCCUCUCACAUGGACCAGCAUCUAUGGUGUUCUUCGGCAUGGAAGGAGCUCCCGCGCUUCAUCAUCCAUAGGUUUGUUGUUGUGCCUUGAAUCUACAAAUUAUCAACACUCUCAUCAUAUGGAGGAGACAAGAUUAAACAGAAGCAAACUAAGAGCUUAAUCUAUGACAUGCAGAUUAAUCCUAGAGACAUAGCUCCUCGCACUUCAUCUUUCAUUGGUCUGUUUGUGUCUUUUUGCCAAUUGUAAUGAUAGAGAAUAUUGUAUCUAAGAAAAAAGUCAAUUUUUUGGUAAUGCUCCUAUGAAUACAGUGCGAUAUUUGGCAAAAUAUGUUGUUGAAUCUUCAAGUGUUGUUCAGGUUUCACAACAACAGGACUGAACAUCGUGUGGUUUUUUUACAAAAAUGUUUCGCCCAUGAACUAAUUAGUAUAUGAUAUUUUUUUUAUGUUGUGUAGAUCAGGAGACCACAGAUGUGGGAGAGGAAAGUCAAAACACAGAUGAUUAUUACAGCAAAAGGUUAAAGCCAGAGAUAUGAAUGGAAUUUGAGAAUGAAGAUAUAUCAUAUGAGUUUUAUAAUGCAUAUGCAGGACAUGCAGGUUUCAGUGUGAGGAAAUUUUGGCAUGAUAAAUCCUCAACGAAUGUUAUUCGAACAAAGAAAUUUGUAUGCUCAAAGGCAGGUUUCAAGGACAAGAGCAAGGAACAAUGCCAGCGGAAGCGAGAAGAUACAAGUUGGGUGUCUGGCAGAGAUGACCAUUAAAAUAAGUGCUAACGGAAAAUAUGUUGUAAGCAGCUUUGAGGAUGCCCAUAAUCAUGAACUGGUAACUCCAAGCAAAGCCCAUCUACUGCGAUCCCAAAGAAGAAUUACAGAAGCUCAGAAGGCCCAGAUUGACAUUUUGAAUAAUUCAGGUAUUAGACCAAAAUCUGGUCAUGAAGUGAUGAGUAGGCAAGCAGUAGGGCGACAAAGUCUUUGCUUCGGUCACAAAGAUUAUAAAAAUUAUCUCCGAUCAAAGCAUAUGCAAUCAAUCCAAGAAGGAGAUACUGGUGCCAUUCUUCAAUAUCUACAGGAGAUGCAAAUGGAAAAUCCUUCCUUUUUUAUGCAAUACAAGUAGAUGAAGAGGAUAUGAUGACUAACAUAUUCCGGGCAGAUGCAAGAUCAAUAUUAGAUUAUCACUACUUUGGUGAUGUGGUAUGCUUUGACACAACCUUUAAGACAAAUAGUUAUGGCAGACCAUUUGCCCCUUUUGUUGGUGUCAACCGUCAUAAACAAACAGUGGUUUUUGGAGCUGCAUUACUGUAUGAUGAAACAGCCGAUACGUUUGAAUGGUUAUUUGAAACAUUCAAAAGGGCCAUGUCAGGAAAGGAACCAAAAACAAUAUUGACCGACCAAAAACAAUAUUAACAUGCAUGGCUAUCCACUAACUAACCAAUUCCUGGACUCACUCCAGUAACAAACAAACGCACUGACCCGACCAAUUUCUAGACUUUUUUUCUAGACUAAUGCAUGCACUAAUUACCCACUAUACUAUUUGGCCAUGCACACACGCAUUGACCAGCUAUUACUCAAAUGAUAUGCACACAUGCACGUGCACACAUGUCAUGAUUAGCUCCAACAGUGUGCACUAACUCCAGAUGCAUCAGCCCCGACAUCACCUCCGAGUGAACAAAAACGCUGCAACAAGCAAACCAAAUCAGGAAAAAAACCCUGAAUCAAAUCAAGCCUAUUGAGAAGCAAGAGACCAAGGGAUUUCUGCCUAUCACAUGCGGCGGUGCCAGCAUAAUAGUGCGAAGGAGCUCGUCACUGUCGAAACAUAACCGUAGCCGCAGAGAAGAUCAGUGGUGGCGGCACGAGAGAUUUACAUGUCUGUCAAGGAAGGGCAAGAAUCAUCUCAACUACACAGGGGGCAUGGCAUGAGGCCGUUCUGAUUUAGGGUAUGUUUGGUUUGAGCCCCAGCUAGCCCUACCAAAAUUUUGAGCCCCAGCUGCCGACUAAGGUAUUGUUUCACUUAUAAGUCAGACUCUCAAAUUCAAGUUUAUUUCUCACACAAAAUCGUUCCUUUCUUAUUUCAGGACUUGGGUAGCCAAUCAAGCCAUGGACAAGAUAGCACUUUUAAAUAGCUCUGUAUAAAUAUUGCUUCUCAGAAUUUCUCUACAAAACAAUAACGUCCUGAUGUAAUAGUUUAUCUUACUAUUCCUUUUGGUGUGAGAUGUAUAACAGAUUUAUUCUAAAUGGAGACAUAAAAGUGUACUGAUUAGUUGCUGGUUAUUUCUCUAUGGUUCAAUCCACAAGGAUCUUUCACCAAUUUGAGAUUUCUGUGACUGUUGUGUGACUUAAAGCAGAGAACAUGUCCACAUGAGGCUGCCUAGUUUGAAAUCAUUGAAAGCUAGUUCAAUCUCAAAUUAAUUGUUAUCUUAGCAAUAUACUACGUAGUAAUUAAUUGGAUGGCCCCUGUACUAGUCCGAAGCCAUCGAAAGCUAGCUACUAGUACAUGAUAUAGAUGAAGAAAUCAGCUACCACUAACCUCUGUCUGACGAGUGUGCAUCGGCCUCCCGUCUUGAUGUGCGCCUGCACGACCUCCUGCGGCAUCCCGGCGAAGCAGCGCCGCACCCAGCCGACCUCAUGCCCUGCAGGUCCCCACCUUCUCCAAUGGAUCUGCUCAGUCUAGGAGGGGAACGACGGCAUGCUAGAGCAGCUACUCCAGACCCGGCCGAGGCUUGGGCGCGCCGGAGUCAGGCAGCGGCUGCUCCCUCUGUCGCUGGCCACGACCACGAGCCUGGACCGUCGGACGGCGGACCUCACUUUCUCGAAUCCUCUCUCUCACGAAGCUCAGCUCAGUGGAAUAACGGUACUAGCUCGAAGCGUCCGCGGCGGAUAAGGCAAGGGAAAGGACUUUUCAGAAAACCAAACAAAACAAAAUCUGUUUAUUAAGUGGUGGGGUCCACGGGUACAUGUGUUGCUCAACUAUUGGCCCUGCACAAUAGCGCGUGCAGGGCUCCCAGCAGGAGAGCCGAACCC